rnacentral:rRNA from 1 species
UACGAGUACCCCAAGCGUUAUCCGGAAUUAUUGGGCGUAAAGGGUAUGUAGGCGGUUAUGUUAGUCUUUUUUCCAAGCCUUCGGCUCCCCCGGAGAAUUUCGGAGGAAACGGUAUAACUAGAGAGUGUGAGAGGUUUGCGGAACUCAUGGUGUAGGGGUGAAAGCCGUUGAUAUCAUGGGGAACACCAAAAGCGAAGGCAGCAAACUGGCACAUUUCUGACGCUGAAAUACGAAAGCGUAGGUAGCGAAUGGG